UACGAAGGGGGCUAGCGUUGCUCGGAAUCACUGGGCGUAAAGGGUGCGUAGGCGGGUCUUUAAGUCAGGGGUGAAAUCCUGGAGCUCAACUCCAGAACUGCCUUUGAUACUGAGGAUCUUGAGUCCGGGAGAGGUGAGUGGAACUGCGAGUGUAGAGGUGAAAUUCGUAGAUAUUCGCAAGAACACCAGUGGCGAAGGCGGCUCACUGGCCCGGAACUGGCGCUGAGGUGCGAAAGCGUGGGGAGCAAACAGG
rnacentral:rRNA from 1 species